rnacentral:rRNA from 1 species
GAUGAACGCUAGCGGCAGGCUUAAUACAUGCAAGUCGAGGGGCAGCACGGGUAGCAAUACUUGGUGGCGACCGGCGCACGGGUGCGUAACACGUACACAACCUACCUAUAACAGGGGGAUAGCCUUUCGAAAGAGAGAUAAAUACCCCGUAAUAAGUUGAGGGGCAUCACUGGAUUUUGAAAGUUACUACGGAUAUAGAUGGGUAUGCGUCCUAUUGGCUAGUUGGUGGUGUAAUGGACAACCAAGGCGACGAUAGGUAGGGGAGCUGAGAGGACUAACCCCCACACUGGUACUGAGACACGGACCAGACUCCUACGGGAGGCAGCAGUAAGGAAUAUUGGACAAUGGUGGCAACACUGAUCCAGCCAUGCCGCGUGCAGGAAGACGGCCCUAUGGGUUGUAAACUGCUUUUGUACCAGAGAAAACCUACUCACGUGUGAGUAGCUGAUAGUAUGGUAAGAAUAAGCAUCGGCUAACUUCGUGCCAGCCGCCGCGGUAAAAC